rnacentral:rRNA from 1 species
CCUACGGGUGACAGCAGUGGGGAAUAUUGCGCAAUGGGCGAAAGCCUGACGCAGCGACGCCGCGUGAGGGAUGAAGGUCUUCGGAUCGUAAACCUCUGUCAGCAGGGAAGAACGUUCACUUUGCUGAUCAACAGUGAAUUGCCGGUACCUGCAAAGGCAGCGCCGGCUAACUACGUGCCAGCGGCCGCGGUAAUACGUAGGGGGCAAGCGUUAUCCGGAUUUACUGGGGGUAAAGGGGGCGCAGACGGCAAUGCAAGCCAGGAGUGAAAGCCCGGGGCCUAACCCCGGGACUGCUUUUGGAACUGCAGGGCUGGAGUACAGGAGGGGCAGGCGGAAUUCCUAGUGUAGCGGUGAAAUGCGUAGAUAUUAGGAGGAACACCGGUGGCGAAGGCGGCCUGCUGGACUGUGACUGACGUUGAGGCCCGAAGGCGUGGGGAGCAAACAGGAUUAGAUACCCCUGUAGUC